UGUAUUUUUAUGAGCAGCAGCCACUUUCCUCCAGGGACCUGCUUUUCAGUCAGAGGAUAUGAACCAUACCUGCUGCAGCAGAGAAACUGCUGAGUGAAAAGGAAUAUGUUCCAUGGACAGAGAUGUGGCUUUUGCUGGCGGUACUUUACUGUGUUACAUGCCUCACGAUGUAAUGGUGUAAAAAUGUGGACACAGAGGGAAGAAAAGCAUUAGACAGACCAACAUGAGGCAUGGAGUAACGACUUUGCUGCAGCAGGUGCCAAGAUGUUGGUGUUGGAAGGUGUUGGAAAAGUGCUGGAACUACAGAAACUGCAGCUGGCUCUAUACCAUCUCCUGGCUUCUGAGCAGAAGGAAUCUUUGCUCCUGCCAAUAUAAAAUAGGUCCAGCAGUGGUUCUGAGACAAAGCAGCACUACUGAAUAACAAUCAAAUUCACUUGAAAAUCCAACUCAAAGCACCUGAAUGAGCAGUUUACCUGGGGGCUGUUCCACAAUUGCUUGAAGUCACCAGAAGGACUUUCACAGAGUUCAGCAGGUGCUGAAUCAGGCAAGUUCUUAGCAGAAAGGAAGACAUGACUGUUUUAUGGGCUUCAAGAAAACCACAGCCAACGAAAUGUAAGAGCUACUGUGUUAUAAUACCUUAAUAAUGGUAUCUUACUUUGCAAUUGAAGGAGACUGGGAAUGUAGUCUCACAGAUGUGAAUGCCCAAAAGAUACAUCUGGAUAAACACUAUAGACAUGAGGUAGACACAUCAAUGGACUUAUUUUUCUAGUUUGGAUCAAAAGAGAGUUUGUCAAUUCCUUGCUGUCUCAGAGUUCACCCUAUGAAUUGGUCUUGGAGCAUGCAGACUGGAUUUUUAUUUUUUUUUCAAUAAAACUAAUCUGGUAGAAAUGCUGCAGGAAGAUAUCUGCACUCCCACUGCUAAUGGGUGUUGAACAAGUGGGAUCAGACUAGAUCUAGUUUUCAGCAAGAACUUUAAACUGAAUGUGGACAUCACAUCCUUGUGGUCAACUCUUCUACCUCCCAGAUUCUCUCCUUGUGAAACACUGCCUGCUGAGAAUGAGCAGAAGCAGAUGCUGCUACAACCUAGAUGGUGUUUUUUGUCGUGUCAUUUCUAUGCUUUGUGUGAGUACAUCCUGCCACUUCCCUCAUUGUCUGGGAAGGGAACUUUUCUGUUGGACCUCUUUUCACCAGAACAUGGUGCAAAGCAGACCUGAUAGCAGUGCUUUGGUGCACUGAAUGCACAAGAAAGCCAAUUACAUUGAAUCUGCAAUUAGAUACGGUUUGUGGACCUGUUACAUUCUCAGGAGAUACGAAGUUGUUUUUUCUGGAGAGGAUAUGUAAUAACAAAAGCUCUACUUAGAAACAAUGCUAAAGACAAGCUCUUUGAUCAUGUCUUGUAAAACUGAUGUAACUAUCAUGAAGAAAAUAGGAGGUGUCACCAGUUUCCUUGAAGAGGCACCAAAGCAUAUAAAUAUGCAAUGAAUCCAGAAAAGAUGAGAUGUAAGCUUUGUUAACAGAAAUGUUACCAGUCUUUUGCUAAGACAAAGCUAAAAGAACUUCUGAAAUAAGGAAAGUAUAUUGUCCUUCCACCCAUACAGCUGUCUGAUUGAAUGUGACUUUAGGGGAUGUCACUUGCCUGGG
ensembl:lncRNA